GGGUGGCGCGGACUUCGGGUCCCCAGCCAUCGGCGCUCUCCCGGGGCCCUCUGACCUCGCUCCUUAAAGGAGGAGGGUCCGUGGCAACAGUCCUCCUCGGCCAGGCGCUCUCGGGACGCGGGGGUGAGGAGUGAGCGCCGUGGCCCACCCUACUCUCCGAGCGGGGACGGAGUGGGCGACACCGCGCGCCCGGCUGCACGCAGGCUCUGCGCGGCUCGAGGCGGCCCUACAGGGGGCGAGGAGGAACCCCGGAGACUCGGCGGAGAGAGCAGAGACGGAGCUCACCAAGGGGCUUGCCGCCGCAGAGCGCGGGAGCCGGCACUCGGGGUACUUAACCGAAACUAGCAAUCCCAGGCGGUACAAGGCCCUCCAUCGUAGGCAAAGCACUACCUGAAUGUAGAUUUGGGGCCAUACGUUGGAAAAUAAGACAUGAGAGUAUGCUCCGAUCAACUUUUACUGUUUACUGGACAACUAUUUUGGGAAUUUGCAGACCUAUAAAGCCCAUCUAUAAAUCUCAAGCAUGUCCACUUUCAGAGAAGAGAAAUGCCAACAACCAUUUAGUCUCUGAGGACAACACUUUUAAAGUGUAACAAUGUGGCAUCCAGAGCUUAUCCAGAUGAGCAGAGAGCAAAUGAAUUUCCUUCUGCUCCCCUGUUGAAGAGGAGAGAAAAAUUCUUCAAGCUUUAUACAGGACUCCAUCAUAGGACUGGAGAGAGAUUGGAUGUCAGAGUGAUUGAUGUGCUCCUACUGGAAGAAGGCAAACAUCCAUAUGUGAACUGCCUGUGGGGUUUCCAAGGAAAGGAACGGCAGGCAGCCUCUAUGAGCUUGAAGAAGAUAACUGGGACUUUAGUCCU
rnacentral:antisense_RNA from 1 species